UAUGGCCAUACCACCCUGAACGCGCCCGAUCUCGUCUGAUCUCGGAAGCUAAGCAGGGUCGGGCCUAGUUAGUACUUGGAUGGAAGAUGGUGGGGAUGGGGUAAGUAUGGUCAUGGCCAUGG
rnacentral:rRNA from 1 species